rnacentral:rRNA from 1 species
UGGGGAAUAUUGGACAAUGGGCGCAAGCCUGAUCCAGCCAUGCCGCGUGUGUGAAGAAGGCCUUUUGGUUGUAAAGCACUUUAAGCGAGGAGGAGGCUACUUGGAUUAAUACUCUAGGAUAGUGGACGUUACUCGCAGAAUAAGCACCGGCUAACUCUGUGCCAGCAGCCGCGUUAAUACAGAGGGUGCGAGCGUUAAUCGGAUUUACUGGGCGUAAAGCGUGCGUAGGCGGCUUCUUAAGUCGGAUGUGAAAUCCCUGAGCUUAACUUAGGAAUUGCAUUCGAUACUGGGAAGCUAGAGUAUGGGAGAGGAUGGUAGAAUUCCAGGUGUAGCGGUGAAAUGCGUAGAGAUCUGGAGGAAUACCGAUGGCGAAGGCAGCCAUCUGGCCUAAUACUGACGCUGAGGUACGAAAGCAUGGGGAGCAAACAGG